rnacentral:rRNA from 1 species
UACGUAGGGUCCGAGCGUUGUCCGGAAUUACUGGGCGUAAAGAGCUCGUAGGUGGUUUGUCGCGUUGUUCGUGAAAACUCACAGCUCAACUGUGGGCGUGCGGGCGAUACGGGCAGACUAGAGUACUGCAGGGGAGACUGGAAUUCCUGGUGUAGCGGUGGAAUGCGCAGAUAUCAGGAGGAACACCGGUGGCGAAGGCGGGUCUCUGGGCCGAUACUGACGUGAGGAGCGAAAGCGUGGGGGAGCGAACAGG